rnacentral:rRNA from 1 species
UACGGAGGGUGCGAGCGUUGUCCGGAAUCACUGGGCGUAAAGGGCGCGUAGGCGGCCUGAUAAGUAGGGGGUGAAAUCCUGCGGCUUAACCGCAGGGCUGCCUUCUAAACUGUCGGGCUAGAGCACGGUAGAGGCAGAUGGAAUUCCCGGUGUAACGGUGGAAUGCGUAGAGAUCGGGAAGAACAUCAGUGGCGAAGGUGGUCUGCUGGGCCGUUGCUGACGCUGAGGCGCGACAGCGUGGGGAGCAAACAGG